AACGAACGCUGGCGGCAUGCCUAACACAUGCAAGUCGAACGAGACCUUCGGGUCUAGUGGCGCACGGGUGCGUAACGCGUGGGAACCUGCCCUUAGGUUCGGAAUAACUCCCCGAAAGGGGUGCUAAUACCGGAUAAUGUCUUCGGACCAAAGAUUUAUCGCCUUUGGAUGGGCCCGCGUUGGAUUAGCUGGUUGGUAGGGUAAAAGCCUACCAAGGCGACGAUCCAUAGCUGGUCUGAGAGGAUGAUCAGCCACACUGGGACUGAGACACGGCCCAGACUCCUACGGGAGGCAGCAGUGGGGAAUAUUGGACAAUGGGCGAAAGCCUGAUCCAGCAAUGCCGCGUGAGUGAUGAAGGCCUUAGGGUUGUAAAGCUCUUUUACCCGGGAUGAUAAUGACGGUACCGGGAGAAUAAGCUCCGGCUAACUCCGUG
rnacentral:rRNA from 1 species